rnacentral:lncRNA from 1 species
CGCCUACGGUCUCUGUGCGACCUGCUACUCAUGAGCCCAGCGAACUCAGAACUCUAUACGUAGGCAACCUGGACAACAGUGCAAGCGAGGAGCUGCUGAUGGCAGUCUUCAGCCACAUCGGACCUGUCAGAAGCUGCAAACUUAUCCACGAGGCUGGUAACGACCCUUAUUGCUUCGUCGAGUUCGCGGACCGAGCGAGUGC